rnacentral:tRNA from 1 species
GGGGAUUUAGCUAAGUGGUAGAGCGCUUGCCUAGCAAGCGCAAGGCCCUGGGUUCAGUCCCCA